CUGGCGGCGUGCCUAAUACUGCAAGUCGAGCGAACAGACGAGGAGCUUGCUCCUCUGACGUUAGCGGCGGACGGGUGAGUAACACGUGGAUAACCUACCUAUAAGACUGGGAUAACUUCGGGAAACCGGAGCUAAUACCGGAUAAUAUAUUGAACCGCAUGGUUCAAUAGUGAAAGACGGUUUUGCUGUCACUUAUAGAUGGAUCCGCGCCGCAUUAGCUAGUUGGUAAGGUAACGGCUUACCAAGGCAACGAUGCGUAGCCGACCUGAGAGGGUGAUCGGCCACACUGGAACUGAGACACGGUCCAGACUCCUACGGGAGGCAGCAGUAGGGAAUCUUCCGCAAUGGGCGAAAGCCUGACGGAGCAACGCCGCGUGAGUGAUGAAGGUCUUCGGAUCGUAAAACUCUGUUAUUAGGGAAGAACAAAUGUGUAAGUAACUAUGCACGUCUUGACGGUACCUAAUCAGAAAGCCACGGCUAACUACGUGCCAGCAGCCGCGGUAAUACGUAGGUGGCAAGCGUUAUCCGGAAUUAUUGGGCGUAAAGCGCGCGUAGGCGGUUUUUUAAGUCUGAUGUGAAAGCCCACGGCUCAACCGUGGAGGGUCAUUGGAAACUGGAAAACUUGAGUGCAGAAGAGGAAAGUGGAAUUCCAUGUGUAGCGGUGAAAUGCGCAGAGAUAUGGAGGAACACCAGUGGCGAAGGCGACUUUCUGGUCUGUAACUGACGCUGAUGUGCGAAAGCGUGGGGAUCAACAGGA
rnacentral:rRNA from 1 species